CUAUCAGUAAAAUACAAUAAAUUUACUGUUAUCAACAGGAGCCCUAUCCUGGGUAACGGUAAACCCUGUCGCGAUUGUUGUCUCGAUGAGCGAGUAGCAUGAUGAAAAGAUUGAUAAGUCUCUGCACAUAAAACAGGAAGAAGUCGCCAAAAGUACCGACGUGAAGAUCCUGAUAGUCGUACCUGGACCUCUAGUUCUGAAGGCCGCGUACUAACCAGAGCUAAAAGAUACGAAGGAAAAAGCUAUCUUCAUGUCUCAGGGAAGGGAAUCUUUCAUUUUUCCAUUUUUCACGUUGUCCUUUUAUUUCCGCUUUUGGCAAGCUAUACCGAGUGGGGAUGGGAGACUGGGACUUAGCAAGAUUGAAGCGCGGGUAAACACGAAAAAAACCACCCCAAGAAGACAAGGCAAGAUGGCCGCACCUCGUUGUGUCAGUCCAACCACGAUUGGCCAAGAAAAAAGUUGUUUGAUACGUAUCUGCUAGCUUAGGUUUCUUACACUAUGUCAAGCAAAGAGUUCAAGGUUUUGUACACUCACCAGAAAACCAAAAAACAGAAAACAUGGCAGGAUGGUACUCUCAUCCUCUACGCAAAUACAAAGAAAGUAGUGUUAUAUGAGGAUGGUACGAAAGCUCUGCUGGACUCGCAUUUUGUUCGUUCUGAUCAGAUAACUAUUGGUGAUGAAAUUGAGUCAGAGAGGUACUUGAUAACGAUUGAAGAGGAGACUAAUAGAGCUGGUGCUGAUUCAAAUUGUCAAGUUUCUAACCAUCCAUGUGUAGUCAACUCUAGCCAUGACAACUCAUUCACGAAAAAGAACAAGGAGUUUUGUCCCCCAAAGUUUGUCAUAAAAGAGAAAAAAAUAUUGAAUAAAGCUGAUGAUGAAGCUGAUGAAAGGUUAAACUUAUGUGCUAAACAUUUUGCAAGGAGCUCUAAAACAAAAGAUGAGAAAAUGCCAUCAAAAAACCAGUUUUUUACACUGUAUUCUAAGAAAAAUCAGGACUUAGUAGGAAAAAGGAAAUUUGAUGAGAAAGUGACAAGAAGAGAUGAUCAGAACAAUGUAUCUACCAAACGCACUCCAAUCAUUAAUCAAAGCUGCUAUGGUAAAAGAGAUACAUCACAAAUUUUGGCUUUGUUCUCUGCAAACAGUGUUUCUAGGUCUGAAGACAAAAGAGAUGAUAUUCUUCAAGUAUGUCCUCUAUCAUCAUCAGCAGAAGUAAAUGUCAGUGAUGAUGCAAAAGGGUUUUUCCAAAGCUCAUUGGUAGAUUUAUCUCAUGAUGACAACAAAGCUCUGACAUCCAUCACAUAUAAUUCUGCAGCUUCACCAGUCCGUUUUCAUACUUUACCUGUCUUAAGCAAGCCUCACUCUAACCCCCUUGUAAUAAGCGAGAAUUCCUAUACUGAUGUAACAUGNGAUACUGGAGAUGAUUUAUUUCAUGUCCCUGAUGAUGACACUAAAGACCAUCAAAUAGAACCUCAUUCCAGCAAUAUCAACAACAUUGGUGUUCAUGACAUCACUACUAGGGAAUUAGCAGUUGGUUCCAGAAAGGAACAUCAAAAGAAGCCUACUCUCUUGUGUCCAACCAUCAAGCAAAGACAAAGCAGUAGACAUACAGGCCUGGCCAAAAAUGACAGAAAAAAUAACAGCAAGUCUUCAUGUAAGGAAAAUGAGCAUGAUUUGGGUUUCCCUACAUCAAAAGAUUGCGAAGAUAAUGUGAAGCCAUGUCGUGAAGUUAUUAUACCAGUCACAUUUGAAAACUGUCACUAUUAUCAGCAAACACUCAAGGCUGCUGUACGAGAACACUUGAACAUUAUGUUGUUUGAACUGGCGCAGAAUUACCACUCUGCCUUGAGAAAAGUAGAUAUUACCCAAUAUAACACAGUCAAUCAAGGUUUUGUUAGUGAUGAAAGACCCAGCUGUCCUCAUGGCAUUUGCUGUCUUAGGUCUGUUAAAAAGGAAGGACCAAACAAGGGGAGGCUAUUUUACUGCUGUCCUGGAACAAACAAGUCACAAUGCAAGUUCUUUAAAUGGGUUAAUGAAUUCAAGAAUUCCAAACAGAGUAACAAACCAACUUUACAAACUAACAAACCUAGUUUGUGUUCAGCUGAUGCGGUUGUUGAGUUCUUUACCAGUCAGGGUUUGACUUUGCACUGUCAGUGUCGUUUGAUCAUCAAACAUAAAAAUACUUAUGCUGGUAAAUCUGGAAAACAAGGAGGAUAUAGAUACUCAAGGAAACGUCUUGAAAAAAGUGACGAUAACACAGACUACAAGAAAUCAAUAUACCUUGAGUUGAGCAAUAAGCGAAGACCUCAUGUUUCCUACAGCAAAGAUGAUGUGUGGAUUGUAUCAAAAAGUUUGUUGUUUGAAAAAAGAAGUACGUUCGUUGCUAAAAGUACAUACUUUGGUCCAUUCUCAAGUGGUGAAUUAGAAAUUUCCCCUAUUGGUGGUUACUCUCCUUCGAACUGGCAUUCUGGAGAUACAGUGUAUGCUUUGCAUGGCUGUAAUGCAAGCAAUGAGUUACUGUGUAUCGAAAAUAUUGAUGCGUAUGUCAAUAAUCGUUGUAUGCCUUUACUGGACAGUUUAUUACGCAGGCAAAGUGAUGUUACAUCAACAAGACGACCAGACUCUGGUUCCAUUUCAUUUGUACCUCCAACACCAAGUUUACAAAGACUGUUGAAUGACAUCCCUACAGAUGUCGCGGUUAAGGUUGCCAAGGAAAUUAUUGACGAAUAUAGUUUAAAUACGGACCAAGGGCUUGCCUUGAUUAACUGUGCCAAUAUGUUUACUGAUGCCCCAUCAAACAUCUCUCUAAUACAAGGAGUGUUUGGUGCUGGGAAGAGUUAUCUUCUUGCUGUAACCAUUCUUUAUCUUGUGAGAUUGUUUACGAAGAUAACGCAGAAUGACGGAGCAAGCAAUGUUUCUAAGCCCAAAAUACUUGUGUCUUCAACAACUAAUGUAGCAGUUGACCGUAUUCUUCUUGUUUUACUGGAGUUGGGGUUUGAAGAGUUUGUUCGUGUUGGUAGCAUUCGUAAAAUAGCUAAGCAGCUGCUACCUUAUAGUAUGCAAGGAAGUGGAAGCCAGGACCAGGAACUAAAAGAAUUGCAGGCUAUGCUUAAAGAGGAUCUACAGCCAUCUGAGAAGCAGGAUAUUCGCAAGAGCAUAGAGAAACAAAGACGUGGUGAAAACAAAAAGAAACUUGACGGAGUGCAAGUGGUCGGAGUCACGUGUGCAGCUUGUGUGUUUCCAUGCCUGGAAAGGAUGAAGUUUUCUGUUGUUUUGCUUGAUGAAUGUAGUCAAAUGACCGAGCCGACUGCACUUCUUCCUUUAGCAAGGUUUGGAUGUCAAAAACUAAUUCUUGUUGGAGACCCCAAGCAACUAAGUCCAACUAUACCAGGAUCAACACAAGGAUCACAUCUCGAGAACCAUGCAGGCCUUGAACAAACACUAUUUGAUCGUCUAACCAAGAUGGGUUACAGAACCACACUUCUUAGAACCCAGUACCGUUGUCAUCCUACUAUUAGUGCUGUGGCCAACAGGUUGUUUUAUGAAGGCCAUUUAGUGGAUGGAAUUACUCCAGAAGACAGAACUCCUCUUGUGAGUUUUUCUCCAACAUUGUGUUUUUAUGAUGUAUCACGAGGCCAAGAGAAAUGUGGACGCGAUGGGAGUUAUUACAAUGAGCAGGAAGCAGAAUUCGUUGUAUUUCUUGUUGGCUGUCUCUUGGAAUCAGGAUUAGAACCAGAGCAACUAGGCGUGAUCACUCUCUACAAGUCGCAACUUGUAACGAUCUCCUCGCACUUAGCUCAAAGCCGAUUGGCUUCUCACAAACAACUCAAGGCGGUGCAGAUCUCUACAGUAGAUGCAUUCCAAGGAGGCGAAAAGGACGUUAUUUUGUUGUCUUGCGUACGAACAGAUCACGUGGGCUUUAUUGAUUGUGGCAGACGCACAAAUGUCGCACUUACAAGAGCAAAAAGGUAGCAAAGUAGAACUUGUAGCUAAUCACAAUGCUACAGUAUAAAAAAUGAUUAAAUAAGUUGACUAUCAUCGUUAUCACCACUAUCAACACCAUCACCAAAACGAUUGUCAUCACCACUAUCAACACCAUCACCACCACGAUCAUUCUCAUCACCACUAUCAACACCAUCACCACCACGAUUAUUGUCAUCACCACU
rnacentral:misc_RNA from 1 species